CUUCCUGGAGUAAGGGGUCAUUUUCCUUUAGAGAAACAACACCUUCUCCAACAAUGCUAAACAAAAGAUUUCUGGAUGCCUGUUUAUAAAAGUGUAAUGGCAGGGAGAGUGUACAAAGGAUAGAGCCAACAUCUUCCUGGAGGUGUUUAAUGACAGGAUGAAAGGCAUCAGAGCUUCCCAUGACUGUGCUGUACAACCCAACCACACAUUGAGAGUUUCUGUGCCUUUUGGAGCAGCAGUGUGAAAGCCCGUUUGGUGAAAAACGCCAAUAUCUUUAAUGAAACCUGCCUGUGCCUUCUGAGCAAUCCUGAGGGAACAGCUGCAACAGAGAGGGAGGAAUGCUGCUAAAUCUAGUGUGAAUCCCUGUCCUGCCUGUGCCUCAAUGUCAUUGCACACUAUAAGGUAACGUGGAAGCUGUCCUAAGAAUGAAGUUCCUCGGUGGCACAUGGCAGUCACACUCAUGAGGCUGGAAGGAG